rnacentral:rRNA from 1 species
CCUACGGGAGGCAGCAGUGGGGAAUAUUGCACAAUGGAGGCAACUCUGACGCAGCAACGCCGCGUGGAGGAUGAAGGUUUUCGGAUUGUAAACUCCUUUUGUUAGAGAAGAUCAUGACGGUGUCUAACCAAUAACCACCGGCUACAUCCGUCCCAGCAGCCGCGGUAAUACGGAGGGGGCAAGCGUUACUCGGAGUCACUGGGCGUAAAGAGCGCGUAGGCGGGAUAGAAAGUCAGAUGUGAAAUCCUAUGGCUUAACCAUAGAACUGCAGUUGAAACUGUUAUUCUAGAGUAUGGGAGAGGUAGGUGGAAUUCUUGGUGUAGGGGUAGAAUGCGUAGAUAUCAAGAGGAAUAC